UAUAUUAAAGUUGUUGCGGUUAAAAAGCUCGUAGUUGGAUUUCUGUUGAGGACGACCGGUCCGCACUAUGUGCGUGUAUCUGGUUCGGCCUUGGCAUCCUCUUGAGGAACGUUCCUGCGCUUGAUUGCGUGGGGCGGUAUUCAAGACUUUUACUUUGAGGAAAUUAGAGUGUUCACGGCAGGCAAGCGCCUUGAAUAUGUUAGCAUGGAAUAAUAAUAUAGGAUCUUGGUUCUAUUUGUUGGUUUCUAGGGCUAAGGUAAUGAUUAAUAGGGAUAAUUGGGGGCAUUUGUAUUAACGCGUCAGAGGUGGAAUUCUUGGAUUGCGUUACGACAAACUACUGCGAAAGCAUUUGCCAAGGAUGUUUUCAUUGAUCAAGAACGAAAGUAUGGGGAUCGAAGAUGAUUAGAUACCGCCGUAGUCUAUACCAUAAACUAUGCCGACUAGGGAUUGGAGGUCGUUCUUUUUAUGACUCCUUCAGCACCUUAUGAGAAAUCAAAGUCUUUGGGUUCCGGGGGGAGUAUAGUCGCAAGGCUGAAACUUAAAGGAAUUG
rnacentral:rRNA from 1 species